GACGAACGCUGGCGGCGUGCUUAACACAUGCAAGUCGUACGGUAAGGCCCUUUCGGGGGUCCACGAGUGGCGAACGGGUGAGUAACACGUGAGUAACCUGCCCACAACUUUGGGAUAACGCUAGGAAACUGGUGCUAAUACUGGAUAUGUGCUCCUGCUGCAUGGUGGGGGUUGGAAAGCUCCGGCGGUUGUGGAUGGACUCGCGGCCUAUCAGCUUGUUGGUGGGGUAGUGGCCUACCAAGGCGGCGACGGGUAGCCGGCCUGAGAGGGUGACCGGCCACAUUGGGACUGAGAUACGGCCCAGACUCCUACGGGAGGCAGCAGUGGGGAAUAUUGCACAAUGGGCGCAAGCCUGAUGCAGCAACGCCGCGUGCGGGAUGACAGCCUUCGGGUUGUAAACCGCUUUCAGCAGGGACGAAGCUUUUUGUGACGGUACCUGCAGAAGAAGCACCGGCUAACUACGUG
rnacentral:rRNA from 1 species